CAGACCCCCUCGCCUCGCUUCUCUCUGACAUUUUCUCCGCUGCAUGUGUGUGUGUGGCGCAAGUUGACGAGUCUGACAGACAGUCAAGGAGGAAAGGAGAUGCGCACGUGCAGGACCAGAGCCCGUAUCUUUGAGGCUGCUGAUGCAACAUGCUGUUAGUAGCACCACAGGAAAAGUAAUCCAGCACUAACCCUGAUUCAGGACAGCACCUUGGGCUCCAUCCCCAGAGUCUUGGCAUUACCUCAGGGCCUCUCAGUUGGUGUCAAGUCUUGUAUCCUUUCUUCCCACAAACUCUGCCACUUAUUUUUGGUAUCUGUCAAAAUGUAAGAAUCAUGGAAUUUGGGGGGAACAAGGACCACUUCUCUUUAAUACAACUCUGUGAUUUUAAUGGAAGCUGAGCAAGAAUUAUGUACCUCAUUAGGUGUCUCAUUAGGCAAUGUUAAACAAAUGUUGUGUAAGUGCACAACAUAAAUCAUUUUAUUUGUAACAACAUGAAGCCUUGUUUUCA